rnacentral:lncRNA from 1 species
AUUUCAAGGAGAAGUUGCACGGCGAAGGGUUCCUGGAUCAGAUAGCCUGAUGAUGGAGGUUGCACGAUGUCGGCGCGAUGAAGGUUCGGGCUCAAGGAGGAAGAAUAAGAUCGGAGCAAGGUAAAAAUAUGAAAAGACGCCCUCACAAGUAUUUAUAUGACAGAGCUGAAGUGAAAACAGUGGGCACGGGAAUCCAGGAGGUGCAAUAAAUUUCGAAACUAAUGGCACCUUGAUUUUCAGGCUAAAUAGAUAAGCCAAAAGAUCCGUUGGAAUGACGCUACUAAGAUCCCUACAAUCUUGGGGCGGAUGAUGUCACUGACAAACAGAGCAGGAGCUUCAUAGAAUAUUUGGAGCCAACAUCUUUCUGCAUUGGAAGACAAAACUUGGGUUGCAUAUGAGCCGCCAGGAGUAAAAGUAAAGGAUUAUUCAGGUCAAUCUGGGGCCUAAUGUUGGGGAUAUUAU